rnacentral:sRNA from 1 species
AUCUAGCCCCGAUAGCAGCGGUAUCUCCCGAUUUAGAAAAACAAGGCUUUUUAGCCGUAGUUUUUGUUAAUUGGGAAUAUAGCGGAUAGCGGGACGAAAC